rnacentral:rRNA from 1 species
AUAUCUUGCACAAUGGAGGAAACUCUGAUGCAGCGAUGCCGCGUGAGUGAAGAAGGCCUUUGGGUUGUAAAGCUCUUUCGUCGGGGAAGAAAAUGACUGUACCCGAAUAAGAAGGUCCGGCUAACUUCGUGCCAGCAGCCGCGGUAAUACGAAGGGACCUAGCGUAGUUCGGAAUUACUGGGCUUAAAGAGUUCGUAGGUGGUUGAAAAAGUUGGUGGUGAAAUCCCAGAGCUUAACUCUGGAACUGCCAUCAAAACUUUUCAGCUAGAGUAUGAUAGAGGAAAGCAGAAUUUCUAGUGUAGAGGUGAAAUUCGUAGAUAUUAGAAAGAAUACCCAUUGCGAAGGCAGCUUUCUGGAUCAUUACUGACACUGAGGAACGAAAGCAUGGGUAGCGAAGAGGAUUAGAUACCCUCGUAGUCCAUGCCGUAAACGAUGUGUGUUAGACGUUGGAAAUUUAUUUUCAGUGUCGCAGCGAAAGCGAUAAGCACACCGCCUGGGGAGUACGACCGCAAGGUUAAACUCAAAUGAAUUGCCGGACC